CAGACAUAAUGGGACAGGCAGCAAGGGCCUCCUGAGCCUCACUUGGUCAGGGUCAAGGUCAGGGUCAGGGUGCAGCAGCAAGCAACUCUUCUGCCCCUUUUUCUUCACUUAUUUCUCCUUUAUGGUUACCUUAGCCAGAAACUGAACUUCAGAAAACUGCCUUGUAGAAAAACAGCUUUUCAGCCGCAUUCUCACCUCAAAUGUGUAUGCAACCCACUCACCUGUCAGGAAUAUCUCUGCUGUUCGCCAGUGUCUGCAAAUCACAGAGGUGAUGGGCUCAACAGAUGUCUUUGCUCCUUGGGUAUAAACUCCGAGAUGUCAGGCAGUUGCAAGUGCAGAACUGGAGGGUAGUGACGCAUUGCUUUCAAAACAUAAAACUAAACUCUCCUUUGAGUCUGAUUUUAAAAAACAAGUGUGUUUAUUCUUACUUUCAAGCUCGGGUAUAGAGACACUGUUGUUAACUAAGCAUUGAACACAGAGAUUCCUUGGACGCUUUUGAGAACGUUCCUUGCAGCAGUGGAAACCAUUUCGCUGUAGCUCUCUCCUCUUCAUGAUGUGCCUCGAAUAAUUCAGAUGGCAGACACACUGAGAUGGCAAGAGCCUGCCCCCCGCGUUGCAUUUCCUUCCAGCGACUGAAAUAGCUCUCUCAGGUCCUUCAAGGAACUCUAAGUGGACACAUGACCUCAGGUCUCAGAAGGAGCGUCCCUCAGAAAAGUCUGAAUCCUCCCCAGUUGUUAGAGACGCGACCUACUUUAAAUAGCAGAUG